UCCUCCCCAUCCCUCUCUCCCAGCUCUCCGCCGCCGCCGCCUCCCCCUCUACCUCCCCGCCUGCCUCCACCGGCUGCUCUCCAUCGCCGCCGCUGCCGCCGCCGGCCCACUCGCUCCCGAGGCAUCCAGAUCCGGCGCGGCCGCGCGGCCCAGCAUGGCCGAUGUCGGCAUCGCGCGGCCCCGCAAGUGCCGGCCUCGGCGAGAAGCGUGGCAUCGGGACCAGAUCGACGUGCCGCAUCGUGCUCCUCUUCUUCUCUCCCUCACACUUUUCUCCUUCGCCCCCGAUUCCUGCCGAGCUUCCCCCGCAACCCGCUUCUGAACCUCGCGAGUCCUGCGGCGGCAGCGAAAUGGCGGAGCUGGACUGGAUCUUGGAGAGGGAGCAGAAGCAGAUCGACCAGAUCCUGGAGUUGGACAUGGAAGAGCUCCAGUUCGAGGCCGGAGGUCGGUGAUGUCGGCUCAUCCUCCUCCGACGACACCUUCCUCAGCUCAUACGAUGAACACCUCUAAUGGAGCUCAAGCAAAUCACUGGCAAGGAUGGAGUGGAUGCCAGAAUUGGUGAGAUGUCGACAAGGUCUAGGAGUAUCAGGCUAGGCCUCUUUGCUCCAUCAAGGAUCACAAGGCAGUGGGGUUUGUAGAGAAAGGCCCUUGGCUGAUUGGAUGAACAAGGAGGGAAUUAGUUCCACAUUAGCCUAGCGGGUUGUUGUUCUAAAUAACUGUGAGGUAAUCUGAAAUAGCAGCAAGCUCGACAUAAGGAACUGCUAUCAGGCUCAAUUGUCUUAGGAAACACGUAAUAAGCUGGAUGCUUUGGAGUCUGAUAGGGAGUUUGAGUCUGCUGCAGUGCUGCCAUAUCUUCAAUCAAAAACUGAUUUUACUGCCGACCUCAAUUUACCUGCCGGCCUGCAGCAGUCCAAGCAGGUGGACAGGUGAUUUAUUUGCACAACAUUCUCAACUUAGGUUACUACUGUUCUGAUGUUUUUUCCUUGGGAACGAUCCAGCAUGCAAUUCAAAAUAUCUUUGAUCUGAUGCAAUAGUUGGUUGGGUGAAGAGAAGGAUAAAUUUUAUCGGAUUAUAUUAUAUUUUGAAUAUUCCAUGCAUUUGCACUAUAUAAUUUGAUGCCUUGCAGAACAUUGUUUUAGGGUUUGCUUUAUGAUUGUUUGCCAAAACUAAAACAAACUGUUUUACAUGAACCACUUAAUCAUGUAGAAGUUUGUUUAGUUGAAUGGUGCUAAGGGUUGCUUGGUUCUUAUCUGAUGUGGUGCAGGAGGAUGAACUAGGAUUGCCAGUGGUGCCUCGAGCAUCACUUCACUGUUAGAAUGAAUAAUUGUCUAGGAAGAACGAAUGGUCGCACAAUAGCUAUGAGAGGCUUCAGAAUUUUAAAACUAGCUGAAACUCCCAGUUUUAUCAUGAUGAUUUUUUGGUUUUCCCCACUUCUGACAGAGCAUGUAGUUGCUUGUCAGAAGAAAGAAUCUUGUUUUGUUUUCUGACAGGCGCGAGAUGGUUGCAAGUGGCACCUGGCGUUUGACAACAGGAACUUCUUCAAAGCACAACCCAGAAAAGACGAGGUUCUCUUCAUUGUGGCCCAGUUUCCUACCAAGCCCUAUAAGUAUUCUCAAGCUGUAGGUGCAAGACAGAAAUAAAUGGUGUCUCCGGCAUAAUGUAUUGCUGUCAAAAUGGUUGGAGUCGUGUGCUUGUGUUUGACCGCAGAAAACAAAUGAAUUCAAGGAUAGAUGUAUUCAGAUGUCAAUUUGAUGAAUGACAAUGCAUAUUAGUAAAGAAAUCAAAUACUUGAAGUGUUGGUUGA